GGCCUGGCUUGUCAGAGCAUGGUGCUAAGAACACCAAGGUUGUGGGUUCAAUCCCCAUAUGGGCCA